GCUGCUCUGACAUAGGGAUGUAUUAUUGAGAAGCAGCUUUUGCUCAGUUUUCAGAGAAAUGGAAUAAUCGUAUUGCUGAUCUACAUAAACAAGUUGAAGAGUUGUCUGAAAGAAAAUAUGGUAUGUCUAAACUGGAAAAGUCCUGUAAUCCUGUGUUCAUGAGCAUUUACACAGUGGAGUUACUCUUCAUCAUGGGGGUACUGUGGACAGGCCCAGGGCUGCCGACAUGAACUUAUGAAUUCAACAGGUGAAGAUUUACAACUUGAUUAAACAGCUUCAGGAGUGUCAUGUUGAAGAUCUUUAUGUAGAAGGCCGUUCCAAAGGAACUUUUUUUUUUGUGGUGGGG